rnacentral:misc_RNA from 1 species
GAUGAAGAACGCAGCGAAAUGCGAUAAGUAAUGUGAAUUGCAGAAUUCAGUGAAUCAUCGAAUCUUUGAACGCACAUUGCGCCCCCUGGUAUUCCGGGGGGCAUGCCUGUUCGAGCGUCAUUUCACCACUCAAGCCUCGCUUGGUAUUGGGCAACGCGAUCCGCCGCGUGCCUCAAAUCGACCGGCUGGGUCUUCUGUCCCCUAAGCGUUGUGGAAACUAUUCGCUAAAGGGUGUUCGGGAGGCUACGCCGUAAAACAACCCCAUUUCUAAGGUUGACCUCGGAUCAGGUAGGGAUACCCGCUGAACUUAAGCAUAUCAAUAAGCGGAGGA